rnacentral:sRNA from 1 species
GAGGCUAACAAAAAUUUGGAGAGACUGC